AGAGUUUGAUCCUGGCUCAGGAUGAACGCUGGCGGCGUGCCUAAUACAUGCAAGUCGAGCGAACGGACGAGAAGCUUGCUUCUCUGAUGUUAGCGGCGGACGGGUGAGUAACACGUGGAUAACCUACCUAUAAGACUGGGAUAACUUCGGGAAACCGGAGCUAAUACCGGAUAAUAUUUUGAACCGCAUGGUUCAAAAGUGAAAGACGGUCUUGCUGUCACUUAUAGAUGGAUCCGCGCUGCAUUAGCUAGUUGGUAAGGUAACGGCUUACCAAGGCAACGAUGCAUAGCCGACCUGAGAGGGUGAUCGGCCACACUGGAACUGAGACACGGUCCAGACUCCUACGGGAGGCAGCAGUAGGGAAUCUUCCGCAAUGGGCGAAAGCCUGACGGAGCAACGCCGCGUGAGUGAUGAAGGUCUUCGGAUCGUAAAACUCUGUUAUUAGGGAAGAACAUAUGUGUAAGUAACUGUGCACAUCUUGACGGUACCUAAUCAGAAAGCCACGGCUAACUACGUGCCAGCAGCCGCGGUAAUACGUAGGUGGCAAGCGUUAUCCGGAAUUAUUGGGCGUAAAGCGCGCGUAGGCGGUUUUUUAAGUCUGAUGUGAAAGCCCACGGCUCAACCGUGGAGGGUCAUUGGAAACUGGAAAACUUGAGUGCAGAAGAGGAAAGUGGAAUUCCAUGUGUAGCGGUGAAAUGCGCAGAGAUAUGGAGGAACACCAGUGGCGAAGGCGACUUUCUGGUCUGUAACUGACGCUGAUGUGCGAAAGCGUGGGGAUCAAACAGGAUUAGAUACCCUGGUAGUCCACGCCGUAAACGAUGAGUGCUAAGUGUUAGGGGGUUUCCGCCCCUUAGUGCUGCAGCUAACGCAUUAAGCACUCCGCCUGGGGAGUACGACCGCAAGGUUGAAACUCAAAGGAAUUGACGGGGACCCGCACAAGCGGUGGAGCAUGUGGUUUAAUUCGAAGCAACGCGAAGAACCUUACCAAAUCUUGACAUCCUUUGACAACUCUAGAGAUAGAGCCUUCCCCUUCGGGGGACAAAGUGACAGGUGGUGCAUGGUUGUCGUCAGCUCGUGUCGUGAGAUGUUGGGUUAAGUCCCGCAACGAGCGCAACCCUUAAGCUUAGUUGCCAUCAUUAAGUUGGGCACUCUAAGUUGACUGCCGGUGACAAACCGGAGGAAGGUGGGGAUGACGUCAAAUCAUCAUGCCCCUUAUGAUUUGGGCUACACACGUGCUACAAUGGACAAUACAAAGGGCAGCGAAACCGCGAGGUCAAGCAAAUCCCAUAAAGUUGUUCUCAGUUCGGAUUGUAGUCUGCAACUCGACUACAUGAAGCUGGAAUCGCUAGUAAUCGUAGAUCAUCAUGCUACGGUGAAUACGUUCCCGGGUCUUGUACACACCGCCCGUCACACCACGAGAGUUUGUAACACCCGAAGCCGGUGGAGUAACCUUUUAGGAGCUAGCCGUCGAAGGUGGGACAAAUGAUUGGGGUGAAGUCGUAACAAGGUAGCCGUAUCGGAAGGUGCGGCUGGAUCACCU
rnacentral:rRNA from 1 species